rnacentral:tRNA from 1 species
GCUGAAAUUAAGAGAUUAAGAUAUCAACUGAUUCGUAAUCAGUAGGUCGCAGGUUCGACUCCUGUCUUCAGCA